CAGCCCGUAGCUCAUCCGGAUAGAGCACAAACCUUCUAAGUUUGGGGUAACUGGUUCGAGUCCAGUCGGGCUGGCCA
rnacentral:tRNA from 1 species